AAUGAUAAAUAAAGUGAUUAAUUAUUUUUUCUUUCCUUGGGCUAAUCAUAGUCAUAGUUUGUUAAAGAUAAAACCUCAUAUCUUAACAGUUUAAAUCCUCCACAAUGGAAAAUAGGAUCUCUGUGUUCUUGCUUCCAAUUAAUCUAAUGUCAGAGAAGAUAGUAAACUUUAGGCUCUAUAUUCUAAAUUAUUUCGAGCAAUACAGAAAAAUCGUUCUACUUGUUGGUGCAAUUUAGUUUUCUGCUCACUUAUAUGGUCUUGCAAUUACUGUCAUGUACCUUCCAAUCCUAUAUCUUUUCCAUCUUUAUUUUCACAACUUAAUCCUUAGUUAUAAAUCAUUUAUCUUUAAAAUAUUAAGAUGCAAUGGUACUGAGAUUUCACAUUUUCUGGCAAUUUUUUAGAACACAUUGUUCAUAAUUCCAGAAUUCCAAGUUGGUGGUAGCAAUAUGCAUUCUUGCAUAGUUUUCCUUGAAUGAAAAAAAGUCACAAGCAAUAGGUCAUUAAUGCAUAAAUACUCUCUUAUCCCCCUCUUCCUAAUUUUGGAGGGCUGUGUGGGUAGGAUAAAACCAAUCUAAUUUGCAUCAAAGCCAAAUUUAUUGUAGCUUUCAUUUCUCAUCCCUAGGCUUGUGGGAACAUUAAGUAUUUCAGUUUUGCUUAAGGUUAGUAGGUCAUAAAUAAACCAAAGCAAUUUUUUUGCUUUGUGCAAGAGGGUCACGAAAUACAUGAAAUACCACUUUUAAACAAAGCAAACCCUAACAUGAAUUGACAGAGGAACAUAAAAAAGUAGUGCAAUGUGCCUCAGUAAAAAGCCAUAGGGAUUUGGGAUGCUGAAGUUGUCUGUUUUAGGAAUAGAUUAUAUAUCUUGUUUGAUGAUCUGUAUUUAAUUUAAGUGACUGCCUCUGCCAGUCCUUCCAGAGGGCAAGUGUGUGAAAUAGAGCAUCUCAAUGUCAGUCUCCAGUCCUUUCCUCUGCCUGAUGCCUUGACCUAAAUUGGGCAUGUGGGCAUUGAUCUGGACAAAUGAAAGAGACUGAGUCUUUGCUGCCAUGCACGUUUUAUCCUUAGUUCUACCUAGUUUUAAAAUCUGAUGAGCAGCAUGUAUGCAUAAAUAGAUUUAUAGUUUAGUCAGUUUUAUUUUAUGUCAUGAAAGUGAAUCUAUUCAAAACAAAAGAAGUGAAAAAU
rnacentral:lncRNA from 1 species